rfam:Spirochaetes bacterium GWF1_31_7 GWF1_Spirochaete-like_31_7_gwf1_scaffold_14, whole genome shotgun sequence.
GGAGAGCUGUCUGAGUGGUUGAAAGAGGCGGUCUUGAAAACCGUUGUGGUCGCGAGGCUACCUGGGGUUCGAAUCCCUAGCUCUCCG